UUCGUGGGGAGCAAGGGGGGAGGAGAUUUCCGCGAAAACUUGACCAAUCUUCGUGCAGUUCGUCCCUACUUCUAGGUAUCGAGGUUCGCAAUUUUCAUGCCCAACUUCUACUCACGAAGGCGAUGGAGAUCCUUCCGCCGAGGCAUAGCUACUCGAGUUGGAGAUCGAGUUGUGAGUGGUGGAGUAGAGGUAUGAGAAGCAGCUUUGCUUCUCUUCUUGUGGAUUAUGUUGGAGUCUCUUUUACUUUAUGAGAACUCUGUUAUUAAAGUCUUGCUUCCGCCACUGUUAAAGUGCGCAUGUUUAUUCUGAACCUUACUUAUGGUAUUGUAAACUAUUAUUACUGUAUAUCGGGAAACAAGUUAUCUAAAUAAAGUUAUGGUAUGUUUCCAACCUUUUAGCCGAAGUGUUUAGUUGUUUUACAGAAAAAAAUUCCCUUGGUUUUUAGGGAUUGCAGAUUGGUCCUUAGACUUUGUUAGGUUACUAAUGUGACUCCUCA